GACGAACGCUGGCGGCGUGCUUAACACAUGCAAGUCGAACGGAAAGGCCCUGCUUUUGUGGGGUGCUCGAGUGGCGAACGGGUGAGUAACACGUGAGUAACCUGCCCUUGACUUUGGGAUAACUUCAGGAAACUGGGGCUCAUACCGGAUAGGAGCUCCUGCUGCAUGGUGGGGGUUGGAAAGUUUCGGCGGUUGGGGAUGGACUCGCGGCUUAUCAGCUUGUUGGUGGGGUAGUGGCUUACCAAGGCUUUGACGGGUAGCCGGCCUGAGAGGGUGACCGGCCACAUUGGGACUAGGAUACGGCCCGGACUCCUACGGGAGGCAGAGGUGGGGAAUAUUGCACGAUGGGCGGCAGCCUGAAGCAGCAUCGCCGCGUGCGGGAUGACGGCCUUCAGGUUGUAAACCGCUUUCGCCUGUGACGAAGAGUGAGUGACGGUAAUGGGUAAAGAAGCACCGGCUAACUACGUG
rnacentral:rRNA from 1 species